rnacentral:misc_RNA from 1 species
GCUCCUACCGAUUGAGUGAUCCGGUGAAUUAUUCGGACUGACGCAGUGCUCAGCUUCUGGACGUUGCGUUGGAAAGUUUCAUGAACCUGAUCACUUAGAGGAAGGAGAAGUCGUAACAAGGUUUCCGUAGGUGAACCUGCAGAAGGAUCAAGAUCGGCAGAGCGUCGUGGAGGGAAAGAGGGGAGAUCUCGGUGGUGGCCGUAGCAUUAAAAAAAAAAAAAAAUCAGAACCUAACACUUUUUGAUGAUAGGAGAACAUAGAUACUUCAUCGUUUG